GCCCAAGUGGUGGAAUGGUAUACACGGCAGGUUGAGGGCCUGUGCUCUUUUGGGCGUGGAGGUUCGAGUCCUCUCUUGGGCA
rnacentral:tRNA from 1 species